rnacentral:ncRNA from 1 species
CCACGUCCCGUCGCACUCCCCCCCGGCGCCGGGACUUUCCCCGAGCCGGGCUUCGGUGCCACUCCCCCCAGGCGCCGGGGCCCGGCUCUUUU